AUCUAAAUAGCUUAAUUAGAGCGAAACACUGAAGAUGUUUAGGUGAUUUGUUAAUCUUUGGAUA
rnacentral:tRNA from 1 species